UACGUAGGGUCCAAGCGUUGUCCGGAUUUAUUGGGCGUAAAGAGCUCGUAGGCGGCUCAGUAAGUCGGAUGUGAAAACUCGGGGCUCAACCCCGAGACGCCAUCCGAUACUGCUGUGGCUUGAGUCUGGUAGGGGAACACGGAAUUCCUGGUGUAGCGGUGAAAUGCGCAGAUAUCAGGAGGAACACCGGUGGCGAAGGCGGCUCACUGGCUCGACACUGACGCUGAGGUGCGAAAGCGUGGGGAGCAAACAGG
rnacentral:rRNA from 1 species